GACGGGGAGGAGACUGGGAGGUGGCGCCAUUGCGCAUGCGCAAGAGGGAGCGGACACACCAAAAAUGGCGGGAAAGAAGUAAUGUCGAGGAUGAACCGCACAAUAUUGGGAAUAGUACAGGAGAUACUAGGAAGGAAGGAAAGUAAUCAGAGAUACUAAAUUUCAAAGAUCAUGCUGCCACCGAGAAAUAAAGGGAUAUUAGCAUCGUUGCUGCAAACAGUCGGAAGUUGUGGGAUUCCAUCAAGCUCAUAGCCAUCAAUGUAGCCUUCACAGACUCAAGUUUCAACCAACCUUCUUUUCUGAAUCACUUUGGAUUUUACUUUUUGUUCUGCUCCUUUUUAAAGAUAGAGGACAUUCAGAACCACAAGUUUGAUCAUAUUCACUGCUACCAGAAGCCAUGGGUGACCUCAAAUGUUGAGGAUGGUCUCCAGAAUUUGACUCACCAAGGGUUUUUGCUUUCAUCUAAUAAAAAAGAGGCCUCCUUUUGGCCAGGGGUCAUAGCCCAGAGCCAGUCCUCAGAUUCUGAAUCCGAAGAAACUGCUGGAAUGUGAGUGAGCUAUAGGAGUUACCAAACCAUGAAUCACGUGAAGCUGACCAAAAACAGACACCACCUGGAGAGCUGGAGCAAUCAGAAAUGGAUGAUAUAAAACCUACUAGCUCCCACACCCAGUGAGUAGAGAGGAGAGCAGAGAUGUCCUGUGAAUUACAUUAUUAAUCAUUAUUCUAUGAAGAUGUUUUAUGAAUAUUUGUUCUUUGUCAGACAAGGGAGUAAAUUUCUUGAUUAGCAGCAGCUGAUUGAAGUCUUCAGCUCUUGCAUGACAUUUGUGUGGGUUCUGUCUGUUUGGGAUGGCUGACCGUCUUAAUAUGAUCCUUGGAACUUUGGACUGGUUUUGAACUAUUCUUCUAUGCAGUUCAGUUAUUCAUGCAGGUGUCUGUCAAGGUACUGUUUAGAUUUGCAUGCUCUGACUAUUGUUAUCUCUUUGACCUUGAGUGAACUAAGUUUUAAUUGAACCAUAGCUUUCUGGAUUUUAUAUUAACUUAUUCAUGUUUUUAAUUUAUAUAGUUUUUAUUUUUAAGAUUGUAAGCCACCCAGAGUUACCUUGAGAUAUGAUGGGCGGUCUAUAAAUUUUAUAAACAAACAAACAAGCAAGCAAACUACCAUAGCAAUUGUGUGUGAAUCAAUAUUUGGAGCAAGAAGCAGGACACUAGGGUAUAGCUAGUUGGAUAGGGAGCUUUACAGCUUCAAAUUACCCCACAGUUGCAACAUUAGUUCCUCAUCCUAGAGCAGUGGUUCUCAACCUUUUUAAUGCCGCGACCCCCCCCAACUGGUCGUAAGUCGAGGACUACCCAACCGGUCGUAAGUUGAG